GAUGAACGCUGGCGGCGUGCCUAAUACAUGCAAGUCGAGCGAACGGACGAGAAGCUUGCUUUUCUGAUGUUAGCGGCGGACGGGUGAGUAACACGUGGAUAACCUACCUAUAAGACUGGGAUAACUUCGGGAAACCGGAGCUAAUACCGGAUAAUAUUUUGAACCGCAUGGUUCAAAAGUGAAAGACGGUCUUGCUGUCACUUAUAGAUGGAUCCGCGCUGCAUUAGCUAGUUGGUAAGGUAACGGCUUACCAAGGCAACGAUGCAUAGCCGACCUGAGAGGGUGAUCGGCCACACUGGAACUGAGACACGGUCCAGACUCCUACGGGAGGCAGCAGUAGGGAAUCUUCCGCAAUGGGCGAAAGCCUGACGGAGCAACGCCGCGUGAGUGAUGAAGGUCUUCGGAUCGUAAAACUCUGUUAUUAGGGAAGAACAUAUGUGUAAGUAACUGUGCACAUCUUGACGGUACCUAAUCAGAAAGCCACGGCUAACUACGUGCCAGCAGCCGCGGUAAUACGUAGGUGGCAAGCGUUAUCCGGAAUUAUUGGGCGUAAAGCGCGCGUAGGCGGUUUUUUAAGUCUGAUGUGAAAGCCCACGGCUCAACCGUGGAGGGUCAUUGGAAACUGGAAAACUUGAGUGCAGAAGAGGAAAGUGGAAUUCCAUGUGUAGCGGUGAAAUGCGCAGAGAUAUGGAGGAACACCAGUGGCGAAGGCGACUUUCUGGUCUGUAACUGACGCUGAUGUGCGAAAGCGUGGGGAUCAAACAGGAUUAGAUACCCUGGUAGUCCACGCCGUAAACGAUGAGUGCUAAGUGUUAGGGGGUUUCCGCCCCUUAGUGCUGCAGCUAACGCAUUAAGCACUCCGCCUGGGGAGUACGACCGCAAGGUUGAAACUCAAAGGAAUUGACGGGGACCCGCACAAGCGGUGGAGCAUGUGGUUUAAUUCGAAGCAACGCGAAGAACCUUACCAAAUCUUGACAUCCUUUGACAACUCUAGAGAUAGAGCCUUCCCCUUCGGGGGUCAAAGUGACAGGUGGUGCAUGGUUGUCGUCAGCUCGUGUCGUGAGAUGUUGGGUUAAGUCCCGCAACGAGCGCAACCCUUAAGCUUAGUUGCCAUCAUUAAGUUGGGCACUCUAAGUUGACUGCCGGUGACAAACCGGAGGAAGGUGGGGAUGACGUCAAAUCAUCAUGCCCCUUAUGAUUUGGGCUACACACGUGCUACAAUGGACAAUACAAAGGGCAGCGAAACCGCGAGGUCAAGCAAAUCCCAUAAAGUUGUUCUCAGUUCGGAUUGUAGUCUGCAACUCGACUACAUGAAGCUGGAAUCGCUAGUAAUCGUAGAUCAGCAUGCUACGGUGAAUACGUUCCCGGGUCU
rnacentral:rRNA from 1 species